CCACAGCCUCCUUGGGCAACCUGUUCAGUGCAUCACCACCCUCUGGGUGAAAAACUUCCUCCUAAUAUCCAACCUAAACCUCCCCUGUCUCAGUUUAAAACCAUUCCCCCUUGUCCUGUCACAAUCCACCCUUCUAAACAGUCAUAAUAUGCUACUUCAGGUAUGGUUUAAUCACUUCUCAAUACGCAUGCACCAUAGCAACUGUGUAAAUGAAAAUGGAUCAAUGAAAGAGCUCCCUCAAGUGGCAGGAAAUACUGUUACCCGUUACACUUUGUAGAGAGUUGGUGUUUUUUUCAUCCUUUUUUUAACAAAUGCCACAAUGGCAGCGAAGUUAGGCCUGUAUCAUAUCAUACCGUGUCACUGAAGUGUAGCAAUGCACGAUCUAGUUUUGCACAGCAGGAAAAAUGGUGCUGCUGUAAGGCCGAGGUCAAACCUCAGUCAGGCAAAGCAGCAGUUAAGAAAAGACCGAAUCACCCAUCAUUUAAGAAACUGUAGAGGGCUUCAGCCUGACCUGAUAAUGCGUGACUGCAUUUUGGCAAGAAAACCUAAAUCUGGCUCCAGCACACAUCACAUAGCCGAGGGUGCCCGAAGUGUUCAUAAAUCAUACAGGCUGCUUCUGCAACCUCCAGCCCGAGCUUUCACAGCUGCUGCUAUCAUCACGUCCAGAUUUUGUGCGCAGUUACCCUUGCUCCUAUUUACUCCGAGAGCGUUCAAAACAUUUGCUACGAGAGGUUCAGCUCAGCAAACUGCUGUAAAGAGACAGGGGCAACAGGAAUGAAACGUGGGCCUCGGUGGGCAAUGCCUCGUGCGCUUACAAGCAGUGCAGCUGCCACUUUUGCUGGCAUUUGGAGCAGUCGGAGAAGCAAGUGCAGUUCUCUCAGCAGAGGGCAGUGGUCUCCUUACUCAGACCUCACUGUGCUACCGAGCUGAAAUCACCCUUCCUAACAGAAGUGAAGCCCUGCUGCCUGUCAGCAGGUUGCCGGAUUGCUCUGCAAGCUCAGAAAUUCAAAUGCUGACCUUCUCGCCGUGCCACAUUUGCAUUAUUUUCCAAGAGGCAAAUAAUCUCUCCUUUCCCCAUCAUUUUGAGUGAGCCUUGUCAGUUUAGCAGGGUUGGUUUGCUGUUUCAGUUGAGGAUGUUGUUUCCUUGGCAUGUUUAAAAAGAAGCUCCUAAGCAGCGAAUCGUGAAAGGCAUUGAAUCUGUGUGGGUGUAACUACAGUUUAACCCUGCUAAGCUGAACUGUGCUUUCUGCCAAUGCUUUUCUCCUUCUGCAGCAUCCCAGCUUUAUUUUGUAAUCUUUUAGCUUGUCUUCAAAAAGAACAUUGUGAGGCCGUGGGAAAGGUAUUAGGCUGCAAAAGGUGAGGGGAAACGAAAUGAGGACAAAUCAGGCAGGUUUUCUCUUUGAGGAAAUACGUCAUCUUUGAGGUCAUCAAGAAGAGAUCUUGGAGAGAAAUGUCACUUAGGUAGUCAGGCUGCUACCCGAACUCCACGGUGAACACCACGGAGAAGCCUAGGAGCUUUGAGAUGCAACUGGGAUCGUAAUGCUGAAAGUGGUUUCUCUUCCUCAUACUGAAAGCCCUCCAAAAACAAGAGGAUGUGGGGAAAAGUAAUACCCACCAAAACCACGACCUAGUUUUCAGUGGGGAGCAAAUAUCUCCAUAAAGCCAUGGAAGACCGAGUCUCCACUGUAAACUAAGAAAGAAAUUAUGUUUUCAGCACGAGGCAUUGCCUCGUUUCCACUUUGUUUUCAUCUCUGCAGAGAUAGGUGACAUCUACUGAAAGUAGUCCCAAGCAGAAGACGUUUCUAAAUCCGUCCAACCAGCAAUUUGGCUGUUUCCAUGGCAGUGAUGCAGCCCGGCCUGCUGCUCUCCCUUCUGCAAGAGCCCUUCCCAAGCCUGACAGAGAACACCGUGCAUUUGUAGCUGCCCUGCCAAAACCUUCCCUCUUCUUUACUCAUGGCUGUACCCAUCUGGUCCUUUUUGCUUCUCCUUCACUUUGGAAAUACCUGGCCAGAGAGGAGCUCUGUGAGUUUGUUCUCUUCUCUGCUGAAGCCUGCCUGAUUCAGGCAAAGGGGGGAGCGCUGCUGGGUUUGAGGGAUUGGAGACGGCAGUGCUUUCCAAGUUUCCGAGCUGCCUUGGAAAGAAGUUUUGGGUGACGGUAAGGGAGAACAGUGUAGGAGCCAGGAGCAGAAACAAAGCAGAAAGAAAGAAAAUCCAGAUUUCUGUCUGGUCUCUCAAAAGAAUUAGGCUGAAACUUGGCAUCUCUGGCCAUAGCAACAAGUAGAGAGGUAAAGAAUGUACAGACUUGGUACAAUGCAGUGCCUUUUGAAGGAGAUGACAAGCGUGAAGGAGCACUUCCAAAGCCCUGAAUUCAGAUAGAUCUGUGUCGCAGCUGAGCCUCUGGCAGCUCUCAACACUAUUUCACUGCAAGUGAAAAAAUAGAAUAGAGUUACAAAGCGGGGAGAAUCGCUUUUCCUAUCAGCCGAGGACCAGCAAAAACGGAAGGUUGCAAUGGAACUGUGCUGGGAGGUGAAGCAAUAUGCAGGGUUUGCUGCAUUUGAUUGGCAUUGGGCUGAGUUGAUGUGGUUACAAAACCAUCUUUGUGCUCAGCAAUAUUCUGUUGCUGGCCUAGUGCCUUGAGGCUUACAUGCUUUGGAAAUAUGGAUGAGGAGAUGAAAACUUGAGCUUGUUUAAAGGUUUUAAAUCUGAAGAUGGCAGACCCAGGAGAGGGAUUCUGAGUUCAGGCAUGUAGGUCAUGCAAGAAAAGUCUUGUCUUCGCUAGCAAGUUACUAUGAAGUGCAGUAAAAAUGUUCCUGCUGCUUCAGCCCUUGCUCAGACGCAAAGAAAAUUCUCCUUGCCUGAAGCGUCAGGAGAAACAAGAGUUGACAAACAAACCAGAGGACAGGGUAAGCUCGAGUGGGGUAACUUCAUCCUCUACCACUGCCACAUCCCUACACGAUGGACCCAAGUUAGCACCAGUAGGACAGCAGCAGUGCUUACUUCCCAUGGUUUGUCCUCUUGUGCUUUCCUCACCGUCUGCUGGCUCCUUGCUUUUCAUUGAUGAGCUUAUUUACUCAGUUGCAAAAGGCUUCCAGCAGCAACGCUAACAAUCACCCAUCUUCACUGCAAAUGUCUUUGUUUUGUUAUUCUGAAAAUGUGCCUCCAAAGACUGCAUUUCUCUGUUGCCUGAUGAUCGGGCACCAAGUCAUGGGAGGAUCACUGGUGUGAUGCUACUGUAGUCUAUGAUUUGAGGAGGAGAGAUCCAGGCUGAAAGCUUUCUGGUGGCAUUCCAAACGAGCUGUCAUGAGAAGAGAAUCCAACGCGCAAAGACCUCAGUGCUGAGGGAAAAUCAGAGGGUUUCAUGUACUCAGAGGAAAAGUGUGGAACUAUAAAUGCUAACUCGGUAACUCCCCAGGAAUGAGCAUGUGCCAUGCUGAGACUGAAUGCAUCAUUAGCAAAUCCCUGAGGCAGAUCUCUAUUUCAGACUGCACAGUAUAACAGCUCCAGGGAACGUACAGAGACACCGAGGAUGCUGAUAAUUUCACAGUUUCUGCUUCCCUGUGAGGCAGAAAAUAGAAAAGCUAUGAAGCUCUUUCCCAGGAACACAAAAGUAAUGUUUUCCAGGGCGAUCAAAAGCUGGAGAAGAUAGGUUUGUUGUCUGUAAACUGAGAGAAAAGGGAACACUAUCGUCUGCUGCCAUCGCUGCAAGAGACAUCACUCAGCUGAUCAAGCAAGCUGAAGCAAUACAGCUGGCCCCUUGCAGAGGAGACGCUGAGGGAUGCAAAGCUGGCUUGGGCGAACGGAGAUCUCAGGGUCACGUACAGCCCACAGGGGAUUCACUCUGUGUCAGUGUCUCCUGCAGCAGCACAGGCUAUCGAUGCACGUCACACGUCUGCCCUUCAUCGCCAGCAACCCCUGGGAAAGACUUUGAGACAAGAUGAGAUGGAGGAGCAGAGGUUCCAGACAUAUUCAGUGAGUUCCGUGAAGAAUUCAGCCAGGCUAAAGGACAGUGUAUUAAUGCUCUGAAUGGGGGAGACCUGCAGGUGAUCUCAGCUUCUAACAGAAUAAGAAGGUUACAAAUCCAAACUGCCCAGCUGACUCAAGCUAGGAGCCUCCAAUUUAUCCACGGGCUUCUUCUGGCACAGAACCCACACGUCGUGCAAAGGACAGCUGUGAGUUCAUGGCGUUGUGCAGAGCUCUGCUCAUCCACCACUGACUUGAUCUUGUGAUUUUUGGAGCACGCUGUGGACGUGCAGCAAUGCAUUCUUAGUACUGAGAAGAAACUUCAAGAAAUGGAUAUCUGGCAAGUACUUAAAGUCAGUUCUGAAGUGAUGCUAGAAAUACCACAUUUCUGGUCAGGCCUAUUACUGCAACAUCAAUGAUGCCUUUGUUCCUCGGUGCUUUUAUCCCUUACCCAAACAGCUCAUGAGAUGGCAGAUUGACUGGGAGCCCAAAAUUGCCAGGAGGGCAGUAGCUGUAAGGAUACCAAAUGUUGCCAGCCCUCUUCAAAAGAAAUUACCUUCUGACAAAUAACCUAUUCCUGACACGGCGUGAGCCUGAUAGCAUCACAGUUGACAAUAGAAGGUAGCACUGGUACAGAUUUAAACAUCUCCUCUUAAAAGCAGUUUGUAAUCUUGGCAUAGUUAAUAACUGCAGCACUCCGUGAAGUAAAUACUCAUUAGCCCCUGUUCUAACAACGUGGAGUGGUGUGGCUCUGUGUCAUCAGUGACUCAGCCACACAGGGUCAGUUUCAGUUUGGGGAGCUUCUUCUUUACAGCCCCAUUGCUCUUUUAGGAAAUCCGGAAUGGUGGGCCCCAACCAGGCCUUGGCACCCCCUGUUACAUGGGGCCAGAGGAAAUGAUGCCAUUUCAAAUACAUUCCUGAGGGCACCAAGUGGGGUACAGUCUGAGGACACAGGUUGUCCUGAUAUGUCCUCCUGGUCCUACCAGACACACCUGGUGGUAUCUUGGGCACUGGUUUUGAAGCUUUUUAUAUAGGAUAUGGCACGGUCUCAAAACACUGCUGUACAGUAGCAAGCCAUGCUACAGACCCCUUCCCUCCACAACAAAGUCCCUGUCUGACUCCACCCCCAGCUCAGAUAUUACUGCGUGGCAGACAUUUCCCAAGCAGUCAGACAUUAAUGUAACCCACAGCGAGCUGUUGUAUGUGCACAAGCUGCUGAUACAGGGAGUGAGGGAUUUCGUAAGGCCCGAGGAAUAAGAGCAGUGAUUAAACACAAUUCUCCUUAGUGCACCUAAGCAUAAUAGUCUCUUGAUGUUGGCAUCUCCUUUUGAAAUGCUAAUGGCCUUCUUCUGGUUAGCUCUUUAGGAUCAGCGAGUAAAGAGGCAUUAGGAAAUAAAAGUACCAUUCGUGUUGAUAUGAAAGAGUUGUUCUACCCUACAAUGCAACUGCAAAUGGCACAAAGGAGUUUUAUGUUUGUUGUCUCCCUGCAGCCUCCAGAGAACAUACAUUUUGUUUACGAGGCAAGCCAUUUACGAAUGCCAAACCCUGCAAAUUCUAGCUGGAAGGAUACCAGCAAAUAUCUCCACUGCAGAGUUUACCCACUGCCCAUCAGCUCUGCCCAUGCUGCACACACGCCCUCCGCUCAUGCUCUCAUAGCCAUGCCCACGCUGUGUGCUGGGACUUGGCAGUGCGUACCCCAGAUAGCCCCAGUGCUAUUUUAGGAACUGCUUUGCUGUGUGUUAUUAGCAAGCCUGCCUCUAUUUCCUGAUCUCCCCGGUGUUCCUGGUUUAUUAAUGCAGUACAUUAAGGCAUUUCUGAU